rnacentral:rRNA from 1 species
UACGUAGGGAGCAAGCGUUGUCCGGAAUGACUGGGCGUAAAGGGCGCGUAGGUGGCCCGAUAAGUUAGGAGUGAAAGUCCCGCUUUUAAGGUGGGAAUUGCUUUUGAUACUGUCGGGCUUGAGUGUGGGAGAGGAUAGCGGAAUUACCGGUGUAGCGGUGAAAUGCGUAUAGAUCGGGAGGAAAACCAGUGGCGAAGGCGGCUAUCUGGACCAAGACUGACACUGAGGCGCGAAAGCGUGGGGAGCAAACAGGAUUAGAUACCCUGGUAGUCCACGCUGUAAACGAUGGAUGCUAGGUGUAGGAGGUAUCGACCCCUUCUGUGCCGCAGUUAACACAAUAAGCAUCCCGCCUGGGGAGUACGGCCGCAAGGUUGAA